GCAUAUCAAUAAGCGGAGGAAAAGAAACCAACAGGGAUUGCCUCAGUAACGGCGAAGUGAAGCGGCAACAGCUCAAAUUUGAAAUCUGGCUCCUUCGGGGCCCGAGUUGUAAUUUGCAGAGGAUGCUUCGGGUACGGGUUCCUUCCGAGUUCCCUGGAACGGGACGCCAUAGAGGGUGAGAGCCCCGUCUGGUAGGACACCCAGCCCGUGUGAAGCUCCCUCGACGAGUCGAGUAGUUUGGGAAUGCUGCUCUAACGGGAGGUAUACUCCUUCCAAGGCUAAAUACCGGCUGGAGACCGAUAGCGCACAAGUAGAGUGAUCGAAAGAUGAAAAGCACUUUGAAAAGAGAGUCAAAUAGCACGUGAAAUUGUUGAAAGGGAAGCGCUCGCUACCAGACAUGGGUUCGGCGGUUCAACCGGGGCCACGCCCCGGGGCACUCCGCCGGCCCAGGCCAGCAUCAGCUUUCCGUCGGGGGCAAAGACGUCGGGAAUGUGGCUCCCCUCCGGGGGAGUGUUAUAGCCCGGCGUGUCAUACCCUUCGGGGGGCUGAGGUACGCGCUUCUGCAAGGAUGCUGGCGUAAUGGUAGCUAGUGACCCGUCUUGAAACACGGACCAAGGAGUCAACCUUAUGUGCGAGUGCCCGGGCGUAAAACCCCAGCGCGGAAUGAAAGUGAACGUAGGUGAGAGCUUCGGCGCAUCACCGACCGAUCCUGAUGUCCUCGGACGGAUUUGAGUGAGAGCAUAUAGGGUUGGACCCGAAAGAAGAUGAACUAUGCGUGUGUAGGGUGAAGCCAGAGGAAAAUUCUGGUGGAGGCUCGCAGCGGUUUCUGACGUGCAAAUCGAUCGUCAAACAUGCGCAUGGGGCGAAAGAC
rnacentral:rRNA from 1 species